CCGCGGUAAUACGUAGGAGGCAAGCGUUAUCCGGAUUUAUCUGGGCGUAAAGCGCGUGCAGGUGGUUUGGUAAGUUGGAUGUGAAAUCUCCCGGCUCAACUGGGUGAGGUCGUUCHAAACUGCCAGAAUAGAGGACGGUAGAGGAAGGUGGAAUUCCMGGUGUAGUGGUGAAAUGCGUAGAUAUCUGGAGGAACACCAGUGGCGAAAGCGGCCUUCUGGCCCGUGCCUGACACUAAGAGCGCGAAAGCUAGGGUAGCAACAGGAUUAGAKACCCUGGUAGUCCUAGCCGUAAACGAUGUCAACUAGGCGUUGGUGGGUUAAUANCCAUCAGUGCCGUAGCUAACGCGAUAAGUUGACCGCCUGGGGACUACGAUCGCAAGAUUAAAACUCAAAGGAAUUGACGG
rnacentral:rRNA from 1 species